AAAAGUGAUAUUGACAUAACUUAUCUAGUGUCCAUGACCUGUAAAUCCUUAACACAGUCUGCAUGGUUAUUUAUUGACUAGAUCGUCUUUAUAUUGGCGCUUUGCAUGGAUGCUGCACAUAGCUGAUGAGUUUGCAGCCAAAAUGAAGACAUCAGUCAUACUCCUUUACUUCUUUUUGACAUUAUCUGAGGGGUUGCCCCUCAACUGUCCUUCUCCGUUUCUGAAUGAGAGUGCACACCUGGGAUCAGGGAAACUAUGCGCAACUUUGCAACUGCAGAGCAAGUUGUCCUGCCCCGGUGUAAGCCUGUCAGUGAGGGAAAAUGUGCGACUGAAUCCUGAGAAAUGGCAUCUGGAGAGUCUGUCACUGAAGGUGGAAAAAAACUGCAGUUUUAUGGUGUUGAAACAAGACAAAGAAAGCCAACAUUUUCCUGGAGGAUUCUAUUCAAACAUUACUAUAAACUCCAUCAAUACACAGUCAGAAUUUUUGUGUGUUUGCACAAAUUUGCACAUCAGAUACAGACGUGCUCCUCCAUUAUUUAAGGAUUUUAUAAGGAAACAUUUAGUGAAUAAUCCUGCACAUCCAUCUGAUAACAACUUUUGGCAGAAAGCGUGGGAUUCUGCAGUGAAUUAUAGACGGAAUGGAAAGAAUAGCAGAUAUAUACCAAAGAUACAAUCCUUCAUGGAUAAAAAACAUUUUAAUAGACAAAAUUUAAAGAAAAUGUUCACACGAGCAUUUCCAAUUAAAGCUUCUAAAGAACGAACUUUAUUCAGAAGCACAGGCAAAAUGGAUAUUUUUGAUGUUAGUCGAGAUGAAUUGAAUAAACUAACAGUCCAGAAAAGAAAUGAUUAUAUUGUGGUUGAUCUUGACCAAAAUAAUAAGCCAAUUCAUUAUGAACCAGUUAAAGAAGAUAUUGCUAAACAGUUAGAACAAGGGAAAGAAGAGGCAGCCAUCGAAGAAGAGGCGGCCAUCGAAGAAGAGGCAGCAAUUGGAGAAGAGGCAGCAAUUGGAGAAGAGGCAGCCAUUGCAGGAGAGACAGCAGUUGGAGAAAUGGCAUCCAUCGGAGAAGUGGCAUCCUUAGGAGAAGUGGCAUCCAUCGGAGAAGGUGUCAUCGGUUUUCUCGAAUAUGUGUCUCCUUUUCUUUUAUUCUAAGCCAUAAAUGAAAUAAUAUUUUGAGGGUUGUACUUUAAUACCUACUGUAUAAACCUCAAUAUAUCCCAGUAUGCUAGAAAGUUUAUAGACAAAUUUAAUUUAAAAAUUAACAGUAAGUUAGUUUAUCUAGUAGUGCUAAUUACAAAUGCAUUUCAACUGUACCUUUGAAUUUAACCAUAAAACUACAUAUGUAAAAUGGUAAAAACUUAGUAAAAUCAAAUGCACCCCAAAAAAAUAUUUUCUUCUGCAUUUUCCUAUUAAACUCUUUACAGUUUCAUACAGUCAUUGGACGGCAAUGAUUCGUUUUAGAAAACAAAACACAAAUACAUACAAGUAAAGUCAAAUCAUCAAUCUGCAUCACAGAAGCAAACAUUUUACAAUAAAUUACAUUUGCACCAUAAAAAUGAAUGCA
ensembl:lncRNA